GAUGAACGCUGGCGGAGUGCCUAACACAUGCAAGUCGAGCGGCAGCGCGAGUAGUUUACUACUUGGCGGCGAGCGGCGGACGGCUGAGUAACGCGUGGGAACAUGCCCCAAAGUGAGGAAUAACUGCCCGAAAGGGUAGCUAAUGCCGCAUACGAUCUUCGGAUUAAAGGAUUUAUCCGCUUUGGGAGUGGCCUGCGUACGAUUAGAUAGUUGGUGAGGUAAUGGCUCACCAAGUCUACGAUCGUUAACUGGUUUGAGAGGAUGAUCAGUCAGACUGGAACUGAGACACGGUCCAGACUCCUACGGGAGGCAGCAGUGAGGAAUCUUCCACAAUGGACGAAAGUCUGAUGGAGCAACUCCGCGUGCAGGAUGAAGGCCUUCGGGUCGUAAACUGCUUUAUGAGUGAAGAAUAUGACGGUAACUCAUGAAUAAGGGUCGGCUAACUAACGUGCCAGCAGCCGCGGUAA
rnacentral:rRNA from 1 species